GUGGAUUAGAUACCCUGGUAGUCCACGCCCUAAACGAUGGGUACUAAGUGUCGGCGGGUUACCGCCGGUGCCGCACCUAACGGAGUAAGUACCCCGCCUGGGGAGUACGGCCGCAAGGUUGAAACUCAAAGGAAUUGACGGGGGCCCGCACAAGCGGUGGUGCAUGUGGUUUAAUUCGACGCAACGCGAAAAACCUUACCCAGGCUUGACAUGCUAGUGGUAAGAACCGGAAACGGGGAUGACCCUGAAAGGGGAGCUAGCACAGGUGCUGCAUGGUCGUCGCCAGCU
rnacentral:rRNA from 1 species